AGUGAACGCUGGCGGUAGGCCUAACACAUGCAAGUCGAACGGCAGCACAGUAAGAGCUUGCUCUUACGGGUGGCGAGUGGCGGACGGGUGAGGAAUACAUCGGAAUCUACUUUUUCGUGGGGGAUAACGUAGGGAAACUUACGCUAAUACCGCAUACGACCUACGGGUGAAAGCAGGGGAUCUUCGGACCUUGCGCGAUUGAAUGAGCCGAUGUCGGAUUAGCUAGUUGGCGGGGUAAAGGCCCACCAAGGCGACGAUCCGUAGCUGGUCUGAGAGGGUGAUCGGCCACACUGGAGCUUGGACACGGUCCAGACUCCUACGGGAGGCAGCAGUGGGGAAUACUGGACAAUGGGCGCAAGCCUGAUCCAGCGAUCCCGCGUGGGUGAAGAAGGCCUUCGGGUUGUAAAGCCCUUUUGUUGGGAGAGAAAAGCAGCAGGUUAAUACCCCGCUGUUCUGACGGUACCCAAAGAAUAAGCACCGGCUAACUUCGUG
rnacentral:rRNA from 1 species